GACGAACGCUGGCGGCGUGCUUAACACAUGCAAGUCGAACGGAAAGGCCUGCUUUCCCUUGUGGAUUGCGGGUACUCGAGUGGCGAACGGGUGAGUAACACGUGAGUGAUCUGCCCCCAACUUGGGUAUAAGCCUGGGAAACUGGGUCUAAUUCCCGAUAGGACUGCAGGGUGGUGCCUGUGGUGGAAAACGAUUUUCUAGUGGUUGGGGAUGAGCUCGCGGCCUAUCAGCUUGUUGGUGGGGUAAUGGCCUACCAAGGCGGCGACGGGUAGCCGGCCUGGGAGGGUGGACGGCCACAUUGGGGCUGAGAUACGGCCCAGACUCCUACGGGAGGCAGCAGUGGGGAAUAUUACACAAUGGGCGGAAGCCUGAUGCAGCGACGCCGCGUGGGGGAUGACGGCCUUCGGGUUGUAAACUCCUUUCGACCGCGAGGAAGCCACCUGGUUGGAAGGGUGGUGACGGUAGUGGUAGAAGAAGCACCGGCUAACUACGUG
rnacentral:rRNA from 1 species